ACAGUCUGAUGGAAUAGAAGAGUCUGAUGGAAUAGCAAAGCUGGUGAUUGUCGUCCUGGGCAGUCUGACUGUUGUCCUUGUAAUGGUCAUCAUUGGUCUGGUCGUCAAAAACAGGAAACUUCAGACAGCUGAUAAAGAAGAACAGAAUCCAGAGCAAAGAGAGAAUGCAGACUCUGACCUGAACUACGCAGCAGUGGCAUUUCGACCGAAGGCAAAAAGAAGACAGCCGGAGCCAAAUGUUAUUUAUGCUGCCACCAGAUAGACUGAGGAGGCAACUGGAACUGAUGCUGUAUCAUAUGAAUGUGCUUUAGAGCUGUUGAAUGCCUUGUUCCUAACAGCAAUAACCACACGUGAAUAUUGCAGCAAUGAUCUGAUCUUCAUUCAUUUGCAAGCAGUUUCAUGCUUCAAUUCUCAACAUUUCAUUUAUUUUUCAUUUCUUGUCAGUGCUUAGCAGAAACAUAAAGGACUGAUGUUUUAGGAGGAGGAGCCAGUAAGGACAUUGAUAUUUGUCCAAUCUGUUAUAGUGAGUGUGAUGGAGGUCGUCAGCGGUGGAGGAGCGAGUGAGGUACACAUCACUUGUUUGUCAGGCAGAGACAGUACAGUGUGGUCAGAGAAUAACUGAGGUGAAAACCAUGAGGGCCGUUAGAUCAAAGUUUUCUAAUAAUUAGGGAUGUAACGAUGCAUCGUGACACGUUUAAAAAUCGGUACAAAUGCGUGACGAUUCGCACCGGUUGACAGAAAAAAUGAAUCGCGGAUGCGAGAGAAGUAAGAUACGUUCUUUUUUUUUAGAAAUAGGUUACGUUAUCUUGAAAAAAAAGUCACUGGUUGGUGAUUCAUUUGUUCAACGUCAGACGUCAAGUCACAUGACUUACGUCACUACGUAGGUACGGGGCACAGAACGAGGGAAGACAUGGUUGACGGUAGGCAACAACUUUGAAAUAGAGGAUGCACCGAGCGAUUUUAAAUCACCUGUGUGGCGGCAUUUUGGAUUCCACCAUAUACACAAAAAAACGAGAGCAUUUGGUUAUUUUAUUGGAAAAGAUUUGAGGCCAUUUUCCGUCGUUGAAAAUGAGGGCUUUUGGCUGUAAGACACAAAAACAGUGUUUAACAGUGUUUCUGUAAAGAAAGCACCUCUUUUUUUUGGUCAAGAUUUUAUAUUCUUUUGUUAUUUAAUAUAUUGAAUUUAACCAGUUAACACCAGUUUACUUGUGAGAUUGUUUCUAAAGAAAGGAGAUAUUUUUCAUGUAUUUUGUUGUUUAAGAUGACCAUGUAAGUUGCACUUUUUAUAAGAGGACACAAACUGUUUUAAAGAGUUUCUGUAAAGAAAGCACCUCUAAGAUUUUUUUCCUACAAAUAAAAAAUCAUUUUAUUUGGUCAUAAUUUGUCUGUAGCUCAUUUUAAUAAAAAAAAAAAAAUCAUGAGAAAAUCGUAUCGUGAACAAAAAAUCGUGAACCAUAUUGAAUCGUGAGUUGAGUGUAUCGUUACAUCCCAACUAAUAAUCGAAGCAGUGAAUAUGGGCUGACUUCCCAAAGCCUUAGCAAGACAUUUGUGAUUAGGCUUUGAAAAAAUACAGUCCAUCUGUGUGGAUGAUAAAAGUCUGAAUCAAAAACAAAAUGUCUGACUAUUAGAAGUGUCUGUAUCAUUGGUGAGGCAUGAACCACAGGAAGACUGACGUUCACCUCUCUGCAACCCCUUCCCUCACAAGGUCAUAAAAACAGCAUGGAGAACUACCACACUGUCUAUACUGUAUAAAGGAGUAAUGAAGGAAUACACUGUGGCAUUUUCAGGCUUAUGCAUAUAAACGUAUUACUCUUCAUCCUCACACAUGCAUCGCAAAAUCAUUAGUCAGCAGCUCACUGCCAUUAUCUGUUCUGUAAAUCAACACAUUGAGGUGAUAACUGUA